UACGUAGGGAGCCAGCGUUGUCCGGAAUCAUUGGGCGUAAAGCGCGCGUAGGUGGCUUCGUAAGUCCGUUGUGAAAGUCAAAGGCUCAACCUUUGAAAGCCGAUGGAUACUGCGGAGCUAGAGUACGGAAGAGGCGAGUGGAAUUCCUGGUGUAGCGGUGGAAUGCGCAGAUAUCAGGAGGAACACCAAUAGCGAAGGCAGCUCGCUGGGACGUUACUGACACUGAGGCGCGAAAGCGUGGGGAGCGAACAGG
rnacentral:rRNA from 1 species